CCUACGGGUGGCAGCAGUGAGGAAUAUUGGUCAAUGGGCGGAAGCCUGAACCAGCCAAGCCGCGUGAGGGAUGAAGGUACAGAGUAUCGUAAACCUCUUUUGUCAGGGAACAAAGGCGGGGACGUGUCCCCGGAUGAGUGUACCUGAAGAAAAAGCAUCGGCUAACUCCGUGCCAGCAGCCGCGGUAAUACGGAGGAUGCGAGCGUUAUCCGGAUUUAUUGGGUUUAAAGGGUGCGCAGGCGGUCUGUUAAGCCGGCGGGAAAAGCCCGGGGCUCAACCCCGGCCCGCCGUUGAAACUGGCAGUCUCGAGUUGGAGAGAGGUAUGUGGAAUGCGCGGUGUAGCGGUGAAAUGCAUAGAUAUCGCGCAGAACUCCGAUUGCGAAGGCAGCAUGCCGGCUCCACACUGACGCUGAGGCACGAAAGCGUGGGUAUCGAACAGGAUUAGAUACCCUGGUAGUC
rnacentral:rRNA from 1 species